GGGCCUAUAGCUCAGCCUGGUACUUUGCUUGAAAUUCAAUCUUGAAGCCGGGGGUUCGAAUCCCUCUGGGCCCA
rnacentral:tRNA from 1 species